GAUGAACGCUGGCGGCGUGCCUAAUACAUGCAAGUCGAGCGAACAGACGAGGAGCUUGCUCCUCUGACGUUAGCGGCGGACGGGUGAGUAACACGUGGAUAACCUACCUAUAAGACUGGGAUAACUUCGGGAAACCGGAGCUAAUACCGGAUAACAUGUUGAACCGCAUGGUUCAACAGUGAAAGACGGUUUUGCUGUCACUUAUAGAUGGAUCCGCGUCGCAUUAGCUAGUUGGUAAGGUAACGGCUUACCAAGGCAACGAUGCGUAGCCGACCUGAGAGGGUGAUCGGCCACACUGGAACUGAGACACGGUCCAGACUCCUACGGGAGGCAGCAGUAGGGAAUCUUCCGCAAUGGGCGAAAGCCUGACGGAGCAACGCCGCGUGAGUGAAGAAGGUCUUCGGAUCGUAAAACUCUGUUAUUAGGGAAGAACAAAUGUGUAAGUAACUAUGCACGUCUGGACGGUACCUAAGCAGAAAGCCACGGCUAACUACGU
rnacentral:rRNA from 1 species